UCCCUACGGGGGGCAGCAGUGGGGGAUAUUGCACAAUGGGGGAAACCCUGAUGCAGCGACGCCGCGUGAGUGAAGAAGUAUUUCGGUAUGUAAAGCUCUAUCAGCAGGAACGAGACAAGACGGUACCUGACUAAGAAGCCCCGGCUAACUACGUGCCAGCAGCCGCGGUAAUACGUAGGGGGCAAGCGUUAUCCGGAUUUACUGGGUGUAAAGGGAGCGUAGGCGGCUGUGUAAGCCAGAAGUGAAAGCCCGAGGCUCAACCACGGGACUGCUUUGGAACUACAUGG
rnacentral:rRNA from 1 species